rnacentral:rRNA from 1 species
AUUGAACGCUGGCGGCAGGCCUAACACAUGCAAGUCGAACGAGCGGCGGACGGGUGAGUAAUGUAUGGGGACCUGCCCGAUAUAGGGGGAUAACUACUGGAAACGGUGGCUAAUACCGCAUACUAUCCUAUGAACCCAUAUUGGAUUAGCUAGUAGGUGGGGUAAAGGCUCACCAAGGCGACGAUGCCUAGCUGGUCUGAGAGGAUGAUCAGCCACACUGGGACUGAGACACGGCCCAGACUCCUACGGGAGGCAGCAGUGGGGAAUAUUGCACAAUGGGCGCAAGCCUGAUGCAGCCAUGCCGCGUGUAUGAAGAAGGCCUUAGGGUUGUAAAGUACUGUCAGCGGGGAGGCGUUACCCGCAGAAGAAGCACCGGCUAACUCCGUGCCAGCAGCCGCGGUAAUUC